rnacentral:lncRNA from 1 species
GCCUAGGCAUCUUGGGCAGGUGACUGAACACUGGAGCCAGUGUCCCUGGGAGAUAGGGAAGUCCCUCCCCAUGAAGGGACCUAGGUUCUUUGUAUCCUCUCCUGUAGUCCUGGGCCAAUAACUGACUGCUUUAUGGAAAACACACACACACAAAACAAACAAACAAACAAAGAAACCACCUUGCAUUCAUGCCCCAAGACUGAGCAGACCCUGUGGUACAGUUUAUUCCCCAGAGGCCCCAUGGGAUCAAGCUGAAGCCCAGCUGCAUCGGAGACCACAUCCUUUUUCAUUUUUCUUUCCUCCCUUCCCAAUAUGGCUCCCACCGACCCCUACAUGUUUCUUGUGAGUGCACUCCAUUGAUAAAUGUCUUGCACAAACAUCCCCUUCUCAGGUUCUGCUCCAGGGAACUGUACCCAAGACACUACCAGCAUCUGUCCCUCAAUGCCACACACCUGUCAUCCCACACAUCAAAAGGAAUCCCACGUAAUAGGAUACAAGCACAACUGCAAACACACUCACUGCCCCCGCCCCCUCCAACAAGGAGACAAAUGAAAAGUCCAUCACUCAUCCAGAGAAGACUUUUUAGAGCCACUGUUCUUGGAGCCUGUUACCUCUGGUCCAGCCUGGGUGACAAGUGAAACUCCAUCUCAGAAAAAAAAAAUUGAUAAAGGAGGAAGGCUGAACAAAUCACCAAGAUCAUGUCGCAGGAGAAACUGCAACUGUAGCAGCAUUCCUUCCCCCCAGGAAUGUGACAAAGAUGAGCACCAUUCCAACACCUGUUGCUGAGGCACUUUCCAGGGGUCUAGCUGUGGAGGCCCCUACUCUUCUCUAGAGCAGGCACUUCAAUCUUCAGGCCAAAACUAAAAUGUCUGCAUGACCACACUGCCAGGUUGCCCAAGAUUGGCUGACUUUGUAUGCAUCCUGAUUAAAAAUGGCAUCUUGCUCUC